GACGAACGCUGGCGGCGUGCCUAACACAUGCCAGUCGAACGGAAAGGCCCUGCUUUUGUGGGGUGCUCGAGUGGCGAACGGGUGAGUAACACGUGAGUAACCUGCCCUUGACUUUGGGAUAACUUCAGGAAACUGGGGCUAAUACCGGAUAGGAGCUCCUGCUGCAUGGUGGGGGUUGGAAAGUUUCGGCGGUUGGGGAUGGACUCGCGGCUUAUCAGCUUGUUGGUGGGGUAGUGGCUUACCAAGGCUUUGACGGGUAGCCGGCCUGAGAGGGUGACCGGCCACAUUGGGACUGAGAUACGGCCCAGACUCCUACGGGAGGCAGCAGUGGGGAAUAUUGCACAAUGGGUGGAAGCCUGAUGCAGCAACGCCGCGUGCGGGAUGACGGCCUUCGGGUUGUAAACCGCUUUCGCCUGUGACGAAGCGUGAGUGACGGUAAUGGGUAAAGAAGCACCGGCUAACUACGUG
rnacentral:rRNA from 1 species